GACGAACGCUGGCGGCGUGCCUAAUACAUGCAAGUCGAGCGGACAGAAGGGAGCUUGCUCCCGGAAGUUAGCGGCGGACGGGUGAGUAACACGUGGGCAACCUACCCUGUAGAUCGGGAUAACAUCGAGAAAUCGGUGCUAAUACCGGAUAAUCAUUUGAAGUGCAUGCUUCGAAUGUAAAAGAUGGCUCCGGCUAUCACUACGGGAUGGGCCCGCGGCGCAUUAGCUAGUUGGUAAGGUAAUGGCUUACCAAGGCAACGAUGGGUAGCCGACCGCGGAGGGUGAUCGGCCACACUGGGACUGAGACACGGCCCAGACUCCUACGGGAGGCAGCAGUAGGGAAUCUUCCGCAAUGGACGAAAGUCUGACGGAGCAACGCCGCGUGAGUGAUGAAGGUUUUCGGAUCGUAAAGCUCUGUUGUUAGGGAAGAACAAGUGCCGUUUGAAUAAGGCGGCACCUUGACGGUACCUAACCAGAAAGCCACGGCUAACUACGUGCCAGCCGCCGCGGUAACAC
rnacentral:rRNA from 1 species